CUUCCUCCUUGUAGAAGCAAUCAAAUGCUAACAUUGACAAUAGAAAUCAAUUGAAGACGAAGCAUAGGUGUGGGUCAAAAUCUCUCCCAGUUAGGGUACACGAGGCGACAAUUGCAAAUUGGGGCCAACUGCCAGAGUUGCCAUGUGUUUACAAAUCUACACACUUUAAUGAUGUCACAAAGCAGUGGAUUUCUCCGGAGUGCGAAGAGAAUUAUGAUAAUAUGAUAAAGAUCCAAGCUGAACAUUGCUCCCGACCUGGUGUGGUUCCAAUUACUCCGGAGGAGCUAUCUGUGAAGGUGCUAAAGCCAAGGUCGGGAUAUGUUAAAGGACUCGGGUUGAGGCGUUCCUUCUCUGUCAGGACUACCAGUGCUUCGACUGACAGUGACUAUGUGAGGCGUCUACAGAUGGAAAUACAAGAGCAAAAGGAGCAAAUUCAGUCACAAAAAGAGGAAA